AGUCAACGCUGGCGGCGCGCCUAACACAUGCAAGUCGAACGAGAAAAGGGAAAGGAGAGCAAUCUCCGAGUACCUGAGUAAAGUGGCGUACGGGUGAGUAACACGUGGGUAACCUGCCCUCCGGUGGGGAAUAACCCUGGGAAACCGGGGCUAAUACCGCAUACGCCCGAGAGGGGAAAGCCGCAAGGCGCCGGAGGAGGGGCCCGCGGCCGAUCAGCUCGUUGGUAGGGUAACGGCCUACCAAGGCGAUGACCGGUAGCCGGCCUGAGAGGGCGCA
rnacentral:rRNA from 1 species